rnacentral:rRNA from 1 species
GGUGAGGUAAAAGCUCACCAAGGCAACGAUCAAUAGCUGUUCUUAGAGGAAGACCAGCCACAUUGGGACUGAGACACGGCCCAGACUCCUACGGGAGGCAGCAGUGGGGAAUCUUGGACAAUGGGGGAAACCCUGAUCCAGCAAUUCCGCGUGAAUGAUGAAGGCCUUAGGGUUGUAAAGUUCUUUUAGUAAGGAAGAUGAUGACGGUACUUACAGAAAAAGCUCCGGCUAACUCCGUGCCAGCAGCCGCGGUAAUACGGAGGGGGCAAGCGUUGUUCGGAAUUACUGGGCGUAAAGAGCGAGCAGGUGGUUCAUUAAGUCAAUUGUGAAAGCUCAAGGCUUAACCUUGAAAUUGCUUUUGAUACUGAUGAACUAGAGUUUGGGAGAGGAUAGUGGAAUUCUAAGUGUAGAAGUGAAAUUCGUAGAUAUUUAGAGGAACACCGACAGCGAAGGCAACUAUCUGGCCCUUUACUGACACUCAGAAGCGAAAGCUUGGGUAGCAAACAGGAUUAGAUACCCUGGUAGUCCAUGCUGUAAACGAUGAGUGCUAGAUGUUAGAAGUUUACUUCUAGUAUCAAAGCUAACGCGUUAAGCACUCCGCCUGGGGAGUACGGCCGCAAGGCUAAAACUCAAAUGAAUUGACGGGGACCCGCACAAGCAGUGGAGCAUGUGGUUUAAUUCGACGCUACGCGAAGAACCUUACCAGCUCUUGACAUGCUAAGUUUUGAAUUUAAGAGAUUAAAUUCUUCAGUUCGGCUGGGCUUAGUACAGGUGCUGCAUGGCUGUCGUCAGCUCGUGUCGUGAGAUGUUCGGUUAAGUCCGGCAACGAGCGCAACCCUCAUCUUCAGUUACUAACAGGUUAUGCUGAGGACUCUGGAGAAACUGCCGUUGGAAAAGCGGAGGAAGGCGAGGAUGACGUCAAGUCCUCAUGGCCCUUAUGGGCUGGGCUACACACGUGCUACAAUGGUAAUUACAAUAGGUCGCGAAAAGGCAACUUUGAGCUAAUCUUCAAAAAUUAUCUUAGUUCGGAUUGUUCUCUGAAACUCGAGAGCAUGAAGUUGGAAUU